UAAAUGACAUUAAGUGACCUCAACCCCUGCUAUUGGAAACGCUAAAUGUCAAAACGCCACCUAUGAAUGGCGGAUAUUGGGCUGCACACAGACAGUAUCCAACCCCAUUUUGGCUUGUGUCAGCGUGUAUAUGAGAAGCCUAAAAUCGUCCAUAUUGGUGAAAACGAGCGCCGCCAUCGUUCAUGCUUCAGCGAUGACGUGGAAGUGGGGAGGAAACAAGUGAAUCGGACGGAUUUUCAAUACUCCAUUUCGACGACAUCAGUGUUGACCUCAAUAAUGAUAAUAAUAAAAGUAAACAAUUGGUUUGCUGUGAAUGAGAAAAUUGCAUUUUUUUUACUGCGAGUGAAUCGAAAAAAAAA